rnacentral:rRNA from 1 species
GAUAAACGCUGGCGGCGCGCAUAAGACAUGCAAGUCGAACGAACUUAAUUGAUUCUUUAAGAUUCAAAGCGGUUAGUGGCGGACUGGUGAGUAACACGUAAGUAAUCUACCUAUUAGAGGGGAAUAACAAUGAGAAAUCAUUGCUAAUACCGCAUAUGCCAAAAGGGUCGCAUGACCAAGUUGGGAAAGGAGAAAUCCGCUAAUAGAUGAGCUUGCGACUGAUUAGCUAGUUGGUGAGGUAAAGGCUUACCAAGGCGACGAUCAGUAGCCGGAUUGAGAGAUUGGGACGGCCACAUUGGGACUGAGAUACGGGCCCAGACUCCUACGGGAGGCAGCAGUCGGGAAUAUUGCGCAAUGGGAGGGAACUCUGACGCAGUGACGCCGCGUGCAGGGAAGAAGGUUUUUCGGAUUGUAAACUGCUUUAGACAGGGAAGAAAGAAAUGGACAGUACCUGUAGAAAUAAGCUCCGGGCUAAACUACGUGCCAGCCCGCCG